AUUACCUCCUCGUUAAGCAGUGCAUAAAGACAGCAGCUUUCUCUCCACUCCUUGCCAGAUCGUCUGCGCUAUGUUGCUGUUCCUACCUCCUGCUUAACUCUGUGGUACCACCUCCCAGCUGGGUUCCUCGCCGCCAAGACCUUCCUGUCCUGACUGUCCGGAUUCAGUCGACCAGCUUCUUGUCUCGUCCUGCCUGUCCGUCCGGCUCUGCCCUCCUGGCCCCCUUGCCGUGUUUCCAGCCUCGCCAGUCAGCUCCCUGUUCCCAUCCAGUCUCUACCAGUUCCUUUACCUCCCUUGUAUUUGCUAUAGUUGUUGUUAAUAAACUUAUCGCCCCGUA